UUAAUUACGCUUUGCAUUGUGGGUACAAGAAGCUCAGUCGACAAUCGGCGCGAUACCAGUGCUUUCGCAGGCGCCAUUAUUCACGGAGAUAGUCUCGGUCAAAAUCUCAUUUUAAAGUCGGAUUUAGGAUUUUGAGAAUGGUUCCUACACUUCCUUUGUAAAUAAUUUUUUGUUAAAUGUAACAAACUGUAUCGUUAACUUAGUUGCUGCCUGGCUUGUUUGGCAAAUGAAUGUCGGAGCCGUCGCAUUCAACAUUUUCAGCAUACCGUCACAUCUUAACGUUACUCGACGUGGAGGGACGUGUUACAGUGCUCACUUUUAGUUUUAUAAAUAAAGGUUUAUUAACUUUUAUUGUUGUUGAUGCGGUGUAACGUGUUUAUUAAUGAGCUUGUCGUAAAGCAUCAGGCAUAUUAAUGUUUCUGAGGUGAUAUUGAGCAGCUGUGAUCACGUUAAAUCUGAAGUGUGGUACAACUCUGUUUAGAGAGCUUUGUGCCUUCAACAGGAGCUGAAGAAGACAACAUUAACGAUACGACUUUUUAUUUUAAAGAGAUUAUACGACUAUGUGAAGAUCUGACGUCACAGAGUUCUUCAAGGAUAACACACAUUUUCUGCCAAACGAGGUCAUAAUUGCUGCUGUACUUUGCAUCCCAAGCACCCCCUGCAUUCUUAUCAUGGAUUGCUGUCAUACAAGUUACCAUUUCCACCCCCAUUGUGGCCGAGCUACACAUUCUCUUUGUUUUAUUUUAAACCUAAAACAUCCGGAGGAGAAUGGCACCUACGCUGGAAUUCAUUCAAAUUCUUCCUGUGAAGAAAUCCUGAAUGAGCGUCAAAGGUUCAGAUGAAGGGAAUCUACGCUUCCAAGACUCAUGUAUGAACUACUUCUAGAUUCC